ACAGCUCAGUAACACGUGGCUAAUCUGCCCUUGGGACCGGAACACCCCCGGGAAACUGGGGCUAAUUCUCGAUAAGUGAAGAACUCUGGAAUGAGUCUUUGCUUAAAAGACGUUUACGUUAUGCUCGUAGGCGUCGCCCAAGGAUGAGGCCGCGACCGAUCAGGUUGUUGGUGAGGUAAUGGCUCACCAAGCCUUUUACCGGUGCGGGCCGUGAGAGCGGGAGCCCGGAGAUGGGCACUGAGACAAGGGCCCAGGCCCUACGGGGCGCAGCAGUCGCGAAAACUUUGCAAUACACGAAAGUGUGACAGGGCUAUCCCGAGUGCCAUCCGCUGAGGAAGGCUUUUACCCAGUCUAGAACGCUGGGGGAAUAAGGAGAGGGCAAGUCUGGUGUCAGCCGCCGCGGUAAUACCAGCUCUCCGAGUGGUGUGGAUGUUUAUUGGGCCUAAAGCAUCCGUAGCUGGCUGAGUUAGUCCCUUGUUAAAUCCACCGAAUUAAUCGUUGGAUUGCGGGGGAUACUGCUCGGCUAGGGGACGAGAGAGGCAGACGGUAUUUCCGGGGUAGGGGUGAAAUCCUAUAAUCCCGGGAAGACCACCAGUGGCGAAGGCUGUCUGCUAGAACGCGCCCGACGGUGAGGGAUGAAAGCUGGGGGAGCGAACCGGAUUAGAUACCCGGGUAGUCCCAGCUGUAAACGAUGCAGGCUAGGUGUUUGGACGGCCACGUGCCGUUCUAGUGCCGCAG
rnacentral:rRNA from 1 species